AGGAGCCAAAGAACUCCCUUGUUCAAACCCUAACUAGCAUAAAUUCAAGCAAAUUGGAAGGGCAAAUCACACCCAAAUUGAAAUUCAAGCACGGAUUAGUGAUCACCUCAGUGAAGUGAUCAUAAGUUUGACUCUUGACGAGCUAGGUGAAGCUUGGAAGAGAUGAUCAAACGGGAUAAAGGCACGAGUAAGACUUGCUUAGAUGAAAGGUGUGUUUGGAGAUCGUGACAGUGGAGGCGGUGGUGAUCGUUAUAAAAAUAAUGCAUGUUGGCGGUAGGUAAAUCCUCACUUCAAAACAACAGUAAGUUUAAUGUCCGAAAAUAAGAUUCUCAAGCCAAACUCAGGCAAAGACGGUAUGGGUUUUAGAAAGGAUGCUCGACAUGUCACCCAGGUCAAUAUUUAUAUCGGGAACCUGGACCAUUGUGAUUUUGAUAAGUUGUAAGAUUGAGAAAAUAGUAGAAUAUGGUAUUAUCAUGUUAUUAGGCAUUGUGACAGUAUCA